CGUGUUCCUGGCGGGCGGAAGUGUCAUGUGCUCGGCACCCUGCGGGGUGGUCCUGGGCUGAGGGAGGCGGCGGGUCGUCUACCCGGGCGGGGAUGACUGGGCCCUGCGAGGAUGAAUUCAAUGUUGUGGGGAUCCAGGGCCAACUUGGCUAGGACCAAGCAUUUGCAGCUGCAGAGCACCUGCCAGCAUCCUGGGAAAGAGGAUGGAUGCCAUGACAGUUCUGAUCGAGACCAUCUAAGGGGAAAAACUCCCCCUCCCGACGUGAGGGAAGAGGCAACAAGCCAAUUGGACAACCCUCUGUAAUCCCCUUCAUAGCCUAUAUAACCCACAGAUUACUCAAACCUCAGGGACAGUUGCUCACCUUGGGCCUGCCCGCUCCCUCUCUCCAAGUGUCUUUUGCUUUGUGAGUAAACUCCUGCUUGAAACUUUCUUGCUUGUGUUCUUUCACAAAUUCCUUUGCAACGCCAAACAAGAACCUGGAAAAUCCAGCCAGCCACCCGGUAACACUUCUAGAUUCCACUUGCAGCUACCCAUGUCUGCCUGCUGGAGGAGGAGAGACCCGCGUUUGAGACCCCGCUCUGCCGCUGGCGGGAUGGCCUCCGCAGGUCCCCGGCCUCUGUGCACUGCCGCUUCCUUCCAGCCCUUUGUUUUGGGAGCCUGCUGGCAGGUGACAUUGCUGGCGGGGAGCAAGUGUUGAUGGUUCCCCUUUUCUCUCCAUCAGCAGAGACGGAACAGUAGAAGAGAGGAUGUCUAGGUUUUUAAUCCCUUCCUUGUUUAUGCUUCAGGAUUAGUUUCGGGGAUGCACGAUGGGUGUAGGGUGAGGAAUUGAUGCUCCAGUCAG